AGAGUUUGAUCAUGGCUCAGGAUGAACGCUAGCUACAGGCUUAACACAUGCAAGUCAAGGGGAAACGAUAUUGGAAGCUUGCUUCCGAUAGGCGUCGACCGGCGCACGGGUGAGUAACGCGUAUCCAACCUGCCCACCACUUGGGGAUAACCUUGCGAAAGUAAGACUAAUACCCAAUGACGUCUCUAGAAGACAUCUGAAAGAGAUUAAAGAUUUAUCGGUGAUGGAUGGGGAUGCGUCUGAUUAGCUUGUUGGCGGGGUAACGGCCCACAAGGCUACGAUCAGUAGGGGUUCUGAGAGGAAGGUCCCCCANAUUGGAACUGAGACACGGUCCAAACUCCUACGGGAGGCA
rnacentral:rRNA from 1 species